AGUCUAUUGUAAAACUUGUGACUUGUCUCAUGAUUGGAAUAAUUUAGAUCAUGUUUUAUUAUACUAAAAUAACUGUCUUGAACUUCUAUAAAGUUCAAAUGCUAAUCGGAUAUUUUUUCUUGUACGUAAAUGCUGUGCAGGAUAAUAGUAACUGUCAGUGCAACAAAUUGAAUCGGCAAUUACUUUUUAGUCCCCGAGAAAAAUAUUGUAUUGUGAAUAAUAUUAAAUCCAAUACAAAUAACGUGAUCGAGGAGAAAAUAAAGAAAAUGGUUAAAAUUAACGCCGGUACAUAUUUUAUAGGAACGGACAAUCCAGUUUUUGUAGCCGAUGGAGAAGGACCAAAACGCGAAGUAGUAUUAGAUAAUUUUUAUAUAGAUAAAUUUGAAGUGAGUAAUAAGGAAUUUAUGAUGUUCGUAAAGGCUACUGAUUAUAUUACCGAAGCAGAAAACUUUGGGGAUUCUUUUGUCUUUGAGGGCCUCUUAACACAAACUACAAAAGACAAAGUCAAUAAAGUAGUUUCUCAAGCUCCUUGGUGGUUACUUGUGAAGCAAACCUCGUGGCAACAUCCAGAAGGUCCCAACUCGAAUAUUACUUUCAGAAUGGAACAUCCUGUUAUUCAUGUUUCCUGGAACGAUGCAGUUGCCUAUUGCAAUUGGAUAGGAAUGAGAUUGCCAACUGAAGCAGAAUGGGAAGUUGCAUGUCGUGGUGGACUCUCUGAUAGACUUUAUCCUUGGGGAAAUAAAUUAAUGCCAAAGAAUCAACAUAAAGCCAAUAUUUGGCAAGGCAAUUUUCCUACAGAGAAUACUGAAGAAGACGGAUACAAAGGCACAUCACCAGUUACAAUGUUUUCGCAGAAUAGAUAUGGUUUGCAUAAUAUUAUUGGAAAUGUUUGGGAAUGGACAGCGGAUUGGUGGAUAACAAAGCACUCAAGUGAUCGAUUAAUAAAUCCAAAGGAAGCAGGGGAAGAGCGCCCUUUAUAGCAAGAAGUAGCAGCAAAGGAUCUUCGCCAAAGUGUACUGAUCCUAUUCUCUUGAAGUCAAAGAUGGUAUACUCUACAAGAAGUGAAAAGCUUCUAACUUGAAGAAAAAUUCUCCAGUUAAUUGUAUCUAGGAAGCUCGUAACGCAGAUUUUAGAGGAGUUACACAAUUCCUCCACAGGAGAGCAUUUUGGCAUCAAAAAGAUGCUCGAUAAAGUGCGGAAGCAAUUUCAUUGUGUAACAUGUAAACCAUGUGAAGGAAUGGUGCAAAACAUAUCAAGUUUGCUUAGCUAGAAGUUCGUCUGGAAAAGGAAAAUCUCUUUUACAGACGUAUAAUAUAGGAGUCCCAUUUGAAAGAAUUCAGAUGGAUAUACUUGAGCCUCUGCCAAUAACUUCUUCCGGAAAUAAGUAUUUAUUUGUUGUUGUCGAUUGUUUUACUAAAUGGGUGGAAGCCAUUUUCCCUUAAAGAAUAUAAGAUCUAAAACUAGCGCAGAAAUCUUUCUAAAUCAAAUUAUUUCAAGAUACAAAAUUUCUCUAGAGGUCCAAGGAAGGAAUUUUGAAUCGAGAAUCUUUCGAGAACUAUCACACUUAAUAAUUAAGAAGACAAAAACGACCCCUUUACAUCCUCAGACAGACGGAUAAGUGGAACGAUAGCAUCAUACCAUUUUAAUUAUUUGUCGAAGUUUGUUUCUGAGAAUCAGAAGGACUGGGAUCGAUGGAUUCCACUAUAUCUGUUGGCGUAUCGAUCUUCCAAGCACGAAACAACUGGAAUGACCUCAGCAGAACUCUGCUCAGGAUCUUCAUCUGCCAAUUGACUUGUUACGCGGCAGCCCUCCUGAAACUGAGAAGUUGCAGCAUUCACGUUUGCGCGGCACAUGACGCGAUUUCGCGUCUCGAACGAAGAAGGUCUCCC